AGCCUGAACUCACAGAAAAUCUGGAUUUCUUUCUUGCUUCACCAGUCAUUCGUUAAGCAACCCUAGGAAUAUAGAUGAUACUACUACUUUUUUCCUAUUCAUCUCACCAAUAUCAUUACUCAUUUCUGUUAGAAGCAGAGUGUGAGAGUUUGCAAGAUGACAUAUAUUUUAAUUGCAGAAGGCAAAGAAAAGAAGGUUGAGAGCAAAUAGAAGUAGAUUUGUCCCACUGUGGGAAGAGGAGAGAAUUUGCACUGAUAGCUCCAGUAAGUUGGAUGAGUAACAUCUAGAGAAACUCAUUAUUGCUCAAGCAACUGGCAAAUCUGAGGAUGCAUAUGAAAGUCAAGUAAACGAAAGGAUUCCUAGAGAAAAAAAUGGAAGUGUUUUUAACCUUAAUGGUAAAAUGUUUUUGUCAGUAACUUAUAUCCAAUUGGAUUCCAACAUGUUAUUGAAUUUUCCGAAUAAAUAAAAGUUUUAUGGUUCAUUUAAAAAAAUUUAUGUUUCUUUCCAUCAUUGAAAUCUCUGUCCUGGAGUCUGUACAUUAACUUGUCACUAGUCAUUUUAUGGUCUUGAAUGUCACUAAACUAUAAUGUGAUUAAAUAUACACUAUUGCAAAACAUUUUUUAUGUUAUAAAAAUUUAUAUUGAAGUCUUGUAAUCAAAGACUUUGGUAAAUCUGUGAGAGUAAUUUUAAUUUUAUAUUUUAGAUGUAAAAUGUCUUAGUUUACAUUUUAAUUGUCAUUCAUAUUGUUGACCAUUAUUUGUUCUUGAUAAAGGUACAACUUGCUUUUCUGGGGUUUUGCAUUACCAUUAAUUCUAUGGUUUGGUGCCAUAGUUCAGGCUCCAGACUCUGGAUCCGAACUCUAUGUCACUUGACUUUGUGACCUUGGGCAAGUUACUUGACUCCUCUGUGUUUAAAUUUCCUAAUCUGCAGAAUUGAGAUACUAGUGAUAAUACAUACCUCAUAGAAUUAUUGGGGAGAUUAAGUGAACUGAUAGAUUUAAAGUGUGUAGAGCAGUGUUUGGCAUGCAGAGAUUAUUAUAAGGUUUAAUUAUUAUUACUUAACUAUUGCUGAAGUUUACUCCAACUCUGCUCAUAUUACUUGCUUAUUAUGUAUUUAAGGAUGUAUCAAAUGAUUCUGCAAGUCAGUAGGAAUAGGACACUUCAUGAAGAAGAGGAAAGGUUAGGGCUUAGAAGCCAUGCAGUGUAGAUAGGGGAGAGGAAGGAGCAGGGCUUUAGUUGUUAGACACACCUGGAUUAAACAAGAUUCUUACUAGUUAUGUAAAUUGGCAACUCACUAAAAUGAAAUCUUUUGCAAAAUGAAGACAAUACAUUUUGAAAUCUUGUAUAAAUGACAUAAUGUCUGUAAAGCACUGGGAAAUGAUGCAAUUUUUUGAAACCUCCUCUCCAUUUUUUAAAGCAGAAAAAAAAUAGUGGAUCUUACAUAUAAUUUUUAACUUUACUUUUUAAAUUAACACUACAUUACAAGCAUAUUUCCAUGUCAUUAAAUAUUUGAUUACAUAAGAAUAUUUAAAAGUUAACAGUUGUUUAUUUUAUUUAACCAGUUCCUAUUUCUGAAUAUUUAUGCUGUUUCCAAUAUUCUCUAAUAUUGGCGAUCAAAUAAUGAAUGUUUAUGGUGAUGAACCUUGGUAUAUCUGUUAUUUGUUUUUAAAAUUUUAUUUAUUUGAGAAAGUGAAAUAAAAUAAAUAAAUAAAAUUAAAAUAUAAAAUUUAUUUAUUUAUUUGAGAGAGAGGGAGAAGGAGAUAGAGCGCGCAAGUGGGAGUAGGGUGGGGAAGGAGGGGCAGAGGGAGAGGGAGAAGCAGACUUCUUGUUGAGCAGGGAGCCUGCUGCAGGGCUUGACCCCAGGACCCUGGGAUCAUGACCUGAGCCAAAGGCAGACGCUUAACCAACUGAGCCACCCAGGUGCCUCCCCCGUAUUUGUAUUUAAUAAGUGAAAUUGUAGGAUCAAUCAAAUAUACAUUUAAUUGUUCUCCAAAAGGCUUGUAUCAGUUACAUUCAACCACGCAAUGGAUGACUGUGCUUGCUUCCCUGCACCCUCACCAACUUGGAUAUUAUUUUUUUUUAAUCACAUCAAACUCCAACAAAAAUAGUAUCUCAUUGCUUUGAUUUGUAUUAUAUCAUUAUUAAUGAGUGUGUUUUCAUAUGAUUGUUGAGCACUUCUUUUUGUGAAUUAUCUUUUCAUUUCUUUGCCUAUUUUUCUACCGCUAGGUUCCUCUUUUUCUUGAUUUAUGAGGGUUCUCUAUAUUUCAGUGAACUAUAAUGCUUUACUAUAAUUAUAUAUAUGUAUAUAUAAUUUGUGUUAUAUUACAGUAUCUUUCUCUGCUCUCCUCUUUCCUCUCAGUUUUAUAAAUAUGGAUUUUAAUUUAUAACUAGAAUAUCAGUACCUAGAUCAGAGAUGGUAUGAGUCAACUAUUCAGAUGGAGUUCUACUCUUAAGUUAGUGUGUAUUAUUAUUUAAAUAACACCUACUGCAAGUGUGAUGUAUGAAGCUGCUUAUUCCCAAUAUGGAAUAAAAGUUGUCUGAAGCCAUGUAGUUAUUUGUAUGUUCAGAAAUGGAACUGUUUCAUGUGUGUGGCUGAACCAAAAUAUAUAUAAGUGAAGUCUUGAUUUUGUUAAUAUCUAUUCAUUUAGAAAUUCAAACAAUAAAAUCAAAAGAAAGAUAAUCCUUCUUUAAAGUCACUUCAUGAGUUUUGUUUGAAUUGGGUGUGUAACUUUGGCCAGGAUUUCAUAUGCUGCCAUAGUUAAGACGUGU
rnacentral:lncRNA from 1 species